UACGUAGGUGGCAAGCGUUGUCCGGAUUUAUUGGGUUUAAAGGGUGCGUAGGCGGCUUGAUAAGUCAGUGGUGAAAGCCGAUCGCUUAACGAUCGAACUGCCAUUGAUACUGCCAGGCUUGAGUAUAGUUGAGGUAGGCGGAAUUGACAGUGUAGCGGUGAAAUGCAUAGAUAUUGUCAAGAACACCAAUUGCGAAGGCAGCUUACUAAAGUAUAACUGACGCUGAGGCACGAAAGGUGCGGGGAUCAAACAGG
rnacentral:rRNA from 1 species